rnacentral:rRNA from 1 species
GGAAGGGGUGUAUUUAUUAGAUUAAAAACCAAUGCCCUUCGGGGCUCACUGGUGAUUCAUGAUAACUCCUCGAAUCGCAUGGCCUUGCGCCGGCGAUGGUUCAUUCAAAUUUCUUCCCUAUCAACUUUCGAUGUUUGGGUAUUGGCCAAACAUGGUUGCAACGGGUAACGGAGGGUUAGGGCUCGACCCCGGAGAAGGAGCCUGAGAAACGGCUACUACAUCCAAGGAAGGCAGCAGGCGCGCAAAUUACCCAAUCCCGACACGGGGAGGUAGUGGCAAUAAAUACUGAUACAGGGCUCUUUUGGGUCUUGUAAUUGGAAUGAGUACAAUUUAAAUCCCUUAACGAGGAACAAUUGGAGGGCAAGUCUGGUGCCAGCAGCCGCGGUAAUUCCAGCUCCAAUAGCGUAUAUUAAAGUUGUUGUGGUUAAAAAGCUCGUAGUUGAACCUUGGGCCUGGCUGGCCGGUCCGCCUCACCGCGUGUACUGGUCCGGCCGGGCCUUUCCCUCUGUGGAACCCCAUGCCCUUCACUGGGUGUGGCGGGGAACCAGGACUUUUAC